AGUGAAUCUGUGGCAGCCGGCGCGGCGGCGUCGCGGCGUCGGUCGAUACGAGCGGUGCGCAGUGCGCGCACAGUGUGCACCGCGUCCGGCCCGGACACACGGGCAGCCGCGCGCGGUCCGGCCCCUGAGCGUUGUUCUGAGCCUCAUUCGGUGGACAUGACUCCGGUUGCUACGUCUUGACAAUAAAUGAAACUUCCACACCGAAAGAUUCAACACAAAACUACAACGGAUACAUGAAUAAUAAAUGAAAUUUCUCAUUUUCAAUCGAGAGUCUCCGCGGGGUCCUGAGAGACUCAGGAGACACACGGGAUCGAUCGAUCUAACAGUAACCCAUCAGCAGUCGUGACGUCACACUCUGACGUCAUACGCUGGCGCCGGACUGAACGAGCAGACACCAGCGCAUGUUCUGGUCGCGUCGUCGCUGCGUUCAGACAGACUUAUCGAAGCGAGAGCCAGGCUUCCAGGGACCCUAUAAACACAACGACACAUUUCAACUGCUGAUAGCUCCAUGCUACUGACAUGCACAGUUCAAACCCUGAUGCAGUGAUUCGUGCGAAGUCCGUCUUCCCGGCCGCUGUCCUCGCCGGAGCGGCAAGAGCGCCGUUGGUGGCUGCUGGUUGGUGGCACCGCCGGCACCGCGUGUGUCGUGUGCACCAUGUGCACGCGACGCACUGACGCUCAGCAUUGGGAAGCCGAAGAUAUCACGCAGUACUCGUGAGGAUCAAAUGGAAAUGGCUCUGUGGACAGGGCACAGCCGGGUCACUACUCUGGAGGCUCGGCCUUGGAGUGCUUCAUCAUUCAAACCACCUUUUCUUUUUUAUUUAUUUAAUAAAUAAUAAAAAAUACACAAAGUA